UACGGAGGGUGCUAGCGUUAUCCGGAAUCACUGGGCGUAAAGGGCGCGUAGGCGGUCUGUUAAGUCUGAUGUUAAAGACUGGGGCUCAACCCCAGCAAUGCGUUGGAUACUGGCAGACUCGACGGUUGGAGAGGCGAGUGGAAUUACCAGUGUAGCGGUGGAAUGCGUAGAUACUGGUAGGAACACCCAUUGCGAAGGCAGCUCGCUGGACAACACUGACGGCUGAGCGCGGAAAGUGUGGGGAGCAAAC
rnacentral:rRNA from 1 species